rnacentral:tRNA from 1 species
GCAUCCGUAGCUCAAUUGGAUAGAGCACCGGUCUUCGGAACCGGGGGUUGGGGGUUCGAACCCCUCCGGGUGCA